rnacentral:rRNA from 1 species
ACAGUUGGGGGCGUCAGUAUUCUGAAGCGAGAGGUGAAAUUCUUGGACCUUCGGAAGACUAACAACUGCGAAAGCAUUCGCCUAGGAUGUUCUCUUUAAUCAAGAACGAAAGUUGGGGGAUCGAAGACGAUCAGAUACCGUCGUAGUCUCAACUAUAAACUAUGCCAGCUAGGGAUUGGUGGACGUUUAUCUACGACUCCAUCAGCACCUUAUGAGAAAUCAAAGCAUUUGGGUUCCGGGGGGAGUAUGGUCGCAAGGCUGAAACUUAAAGGGAUUGACGGGAGGGCACCACCAGGAGUGGAGCCUGUGGCUUAAUUUGACUCAACACGGGAAAACUUACCAGGUCCGGACAUAGUAAGGAUUGACAGAUUGAUAGCUCUU